rnacentral:rRNA from 1 species
UGGGGAAUAUUGCACAAUGGGCGCAAGCCUGAUGCAGCCAUGCCGCGUGUAUGAAGAAGGCCUUCGGGUUGUAAAGCACUUUCAGUCGGGAGGAAGGUGGUAAGGUUAAUAACCUUAUCAAUUGACGUUACCGACAGAAGAAGCACCGGCUAACUCCGUGCCAGCAGCCGCGGUAAUACGGAGGGUGCAAGCGUUAAUCGGAAUUACUGGGCGUAAAGCGCACGCAGGCGGUUGAUUGAGUCAGAUGUGAAAUCCCCGGGCUUAACCCGGGAAUUGCAUCUGAUACUGGUCAGAUAGAGUCUUGUAGAGGGGGGUAGAAUUCCAUGUGUGGCGGUGAAAUGCGGAGAGAUGUGGAGGAAUACCGGUGGCGAAGGCGGCCCCCUGGACGAAGACUGACGCUCAGGUGCGAAAGCGUGGGGAGCAAACAGG